GAUGAACGCUGGCGGCGUGCUUAACACAUGCAAGUCGAACGGAGAAUUGAAGCUUGCUUUAAUUCUUAGUGGCGGACGGGUGAGUAACGCGUGGGUAACCUGCCCUUAAGUGGGGGACAACAGUUGGAAACAACUGCUAAUACCGCAUAAAGUUGAGAAUCUGCAUGGAUUUUCAACCAAAGGAGUAAUCCGCUUUUGGAUGGACCCGCGUCUGAUUAGCUAGUUGGUGAGGUAACGGCUCACCAAGGCGACGAUCAGUAGCCGGCCUGAGAGGGGGAUCGGCCACAGUGGGACUGGGACACGGCCCAGACUCCUACGGGAGGCAGCAGUGGGGAAUCUUCCGCAAUGGACGAAAGUCUGACGGAGCAACGCCGCGGGAGGGAUGAAGGCCUUCGGGUUGUAAACCUCUGUCUUCAGGGAAGAAAAAAAUGACGGUACCUGAGGAGGAAGCCCCGGCUAACUACGUGCCAGCAGCCGCCGUAA
rnacentral:rRNA from 1 species